rnacentral:rRNA from 1 species
UACGGGGGGGGCAAGCGUUGUUCGGAAUUACUGGGCGUAAAGGGCUCGUAGGCGGCCAACUAAGUCAGACGUGAAAUCCCUCGGCUUAACCGGGGAACUGCGUCUGAUACUGGAUGGCUUGAGGUUGGGAGAGGGAUGCGGAAUUCCAGGUGUAGCGGUGAAAUGCGUAGAUAUCUGGAGGAACACCGGUGGCGAAGGCGGCAUCCUGGACCAAUUCUGACGCUGAGGAGCGAAAGCCAGGGGAGCAAGCGGG